GCUACUUCCUGAUGCUCUGAACAAGUACAUUUACUGGAGUUUUAGUCAACAGAAUAGGCUUGAUGGUGACAGGAGUGCUUGGUACCCUUGUGGUUAGUUUAAGUUUGAUGGUGUGCUUCUUCGCUUCUUCCUUGACGUAUCUGAUAAUACCCAUUGGCGUGUUUAGUGGUUUUGGAUACUCUUUUGUAUAUAUUUCAUCAGCUACUGCCGUAAGCCAGCAUUUCUCCGGUAGGAAGCAGUUACUAUAUUUGUCUGUACAUACGUCAGGGGCUGGAAUAGGGGGCAUGAUUUAUCCCUUUAUGAUAAGAUAUCUAAGGAUACAUUAGAGACGUAACGGGCUCAUAUACAGCAAUAUUCUACACAUCAGCAGGGACAAAUUUGUUUGCAGCAGCCCUUUUCCUUGUUGCACACAUUACAAGAAAAAGAGAAAGAGACGAAUUUAAUAAACGUACAUCAGUGUUCUUUCUGACAGGUUUUUAAAUUUUCAAACGCUGUGCUCGAAAUUGCAAACUUAUUUUGUCUAAGUAUAAUAAUUUUUACACAUUUCAUAAAAUGUCGCAGGAUCUAACCGGUAUGCUGCAAUGUCUUUCAAAGGUAAGCAGAAUGCUGGCGGCUCGGAUUCGAUUCCCAGUCUUGCCUGUACUUUCCAUUCGUUUAAGGUACUGCUUGGUUUGCAUCAGUAUUUGCCUCGACUGGCGUCAGGUAGAUAAAUCUGACAUAGACAGUGAGCAUGACUGGCAGUAAGUGACACCGAUUAUCAGCGCUAAAUUAGAAACACUCAGCUGUUUGAAAAAGGCACAACUUUCAAUAAUACGAGUAAUUAUAUGAUUUAGUUUGUUGAUAGAUCUAGUUAAAGAGAUAAUUUUCUGAUUGAUAAUCGAAGAUAUUGUAUAAAGAUAGGCAUUAUAGUAUAUAGAUUCUAAAGACCGAGAUAUUAUAGCCAAACGGAAAGAUGGAUAUUAAAAUUGUUUUUGUUUG
rnacentral:misc_RNA from 1 species